rnacentral:rRNA from 1 species
UGGGGAAUUUUCUGCAAUGGGCGUAAGCCUGACGAAGCAAGACCGCGUGAGGGAGGAAGGCCCUUGGGUUGUAAACCUCUUUUCUCAGGGAAGAAGAAAGUGACGGUACCUGAGGAAUCAGCCUCGGCUAACUCCGUGCCAGCAGCCGCGGUAAUACGGAGGAGGCAAGCGUUAUCCGGAAUUAUUGGGCGUAAAGCGUCCGCAGGUGGUUUUUCAAGUCCGCUGUCAAAGACCGGAGCUUAACUCCGGAGAGGCAGUAGAAACUGAUAGACUAGAGUUCGGUAGGGGUAGAGGGAAUUCCCAGUGUAGCGGUGAAAUGCGUAGAGAUUGGGAAGAACACCAGUGGCGAAAGCGCUCUACUGGGCCGAAACUGACACUCACAGGACGAUAGCUAGGGGAGCGAAAGGGAUUAGAUACCCGCGUAGUCC